AUUGAACGCUGGCGGCAGGCCUAACACAUGCAAGUCGAGCGGAGCGGCGGACGGGUGCGUAAUGCCUAGGAAUCUGCCUGGUCGUGGGGGAUGACGACCGGAAACGGGCGCUAAUACCGCAUACUAUCAGAUGAGCCUAGGUCGGAUUAGCUAGUUGGUGGGGUAAAGGCCUACCAAGGCGACGAUCCGUAGCUGGUCUGAGAGGAUGAUCAGUCACACUGGGACUGAGACACGGUCCAGACUCCUACGGGAGGCAGCAGUGGGGAAUAUUGGACAAUGGGCGAAAGCCUGAUGCAGCCAUGCCGCGUGUGUGAAGAAGGUCUUCGGAUUGUAAAGCACUUUAAGUUGGGAGGCGUUACCAACAGAAGAAGCACCGGCUAACUUCGUGCCAGCAGCCGCGGUAAUAC
rnacentral:rRNA from 1 species